rnacentral:rRNA from 1 species
AUGAAAAAAAUAAUAUAUUAUUAUCAGUUCAAUAUGUAUUUUGUCAUUAGUUCAUACAGAACAACCGUAAAAAAUAUUUUGAUGUGUGUUAGAGAGAGAUCAACUUUAUAUUAUAUGGUAGCUCACUCAUUGCAUGAUUGCACAGCAGUUUGGCAUCAAAAUUCACAUCAGUUUAGGGGUGCCCGCAUCACGGUCUCACCGUGCUACCGCAAUCUCUCCUUGAUACGCCACCGGACGAGCCCCUCCUCACACUUUGGCAAGCUGUCACUUGCUCCUGUGCCUGGAUCCCAUGUGAGCGCUGAUGGUAUUCAUGUGGACUUUAAAUAA